rnacentral:rRNA from 1 species
AACGAACGCUGGCGGCAGGCUUAACACAUGCAAGUCGAACGCCCCGCAAGGGGAGUGGCAGACGGGUGAGUAACGCGUGGGAACAUACCCUUUUCUACGGAAUAGCUCUGGGAAACUGGAAUUAAUACCGUAUACGCCCUACGGGGGAAAGAUUUAUCGGGGAAGGAUUGGCCCGCGUUGGAUUAGCUAGUUGGUGGGGUAAAGGCCUACCAAGGCGACGAUCCAUAGCUGGUCUGAGAGGAUGAUCAGCCACAUUGGGACUGAGACACGGCCCAAACUCCUACGGGAGGCAGCAGUGGGGAAUAUUGGACAAUGGGCGCAAGCCUGAUCCAGCGAUGCCGCGUGAGUGAUGAAGGCCUUAGGGUUGUAAAGCUCUUUCACCGAUGAAGAUAAUGACGGUAGUCGGAGAAGAAGCCCCGGCUAACUUCGUG